AGAUUCAGCUUACCAAACUAAGGAAAACUCAACGGACAAAUCAAAUUCCAAAACAACUUCCUCGGCCCCUAGCCCGGAGUUAAGUUAUGGACCUGACCGUUACGAAAAGCCGUUUUCGUCCUGGCCAACUGUUAGACCUGACGAGAGAAGAGUGACAUCACAACUGCAGCAAGCUGCGCUUAAAUUGAUCCAAUUACAACGUAUAUCACAGGAGAACAAAAAACUGCGCAACGGCCGCAUUCAUACUUCCGGUGAAGAAGAUGGAUUGGUGUCAGAUGACGACUUAAAAGGUUGUCUCCCUUUAAGUCGACUAACUACUCUCGACACGUCUCGGCGCCGCUCGGGAAAGUUACGGCGUCUUCACAGCUUGAACAGAGAAUCAAGCUUGCAGGAAGUGACAGAGGAGAACUCGCCUGUGGUACCGGAAGAUGC